GGGCCUGUAGCUCAGUUGGUUAGAGCGCACGCCUGAUAAGCGUGAGGUCGAGGGUUCAACUCCCCCCAGGCCCA
rnacentral:tRNA from 1 species